CGUAAGGUCAGAGCAUAUACGGAUCAUGUAUACGAAGUGUCAAAUAAGUAAUAAGAAUGACAGCUAGUGAUUGAAAGGUAAUCGGACAUCGCAUUAAAUCAGCGAGUCGCGUGGUUGCAAACUGUUGAUUCUGUGCCUUUCUACUAGCAGACAAGUAGAUGAUGUUGAAUUAUUUUCAGCAUUUAAUAUCUGCUUUCAUGUGCCUAAUUUAUCAACCCCUGAUCAUCUGUUAAACAUGUUGGAAGAAGUUGAUCUCGUCUCAGAAAUGGCUUUCUUGGAUGCAAAGCUUCAAGGGAAACGUGUAUUCAUCGGUGUAUUAAGAAAUUGCUCUGCCUAAUAGAUAUGACACGUCAAGUGGAACCAAGUUACAGAGUCGCAAAAUUCUUUUGGAAAGAGAAAACUGGAAGAAGAAGGCUUCUGAGCAUAGCUUGUUUUGAGUUUAGAUCGCUUAAGCUGAAGCAACUUUGAUCAUCCCCCAAAACGAACGUAUUCUCAGAUUGUAGUAAUUUAAAUAAAGAAAUUUAUAGCUUCUGUGUAUAAGUGAGAGAUAUAAUCAGUGAUAUCUCUAAAUCUCCUCUGUGUUACAAUGAGUUGUUGUGACAGAUAGAAAAUAGAUAAUAUUGCUUAGAUUGUGAUGCAUGUCUGAAGACACGUAAUUAACUCUGUCAAGUACUACAUUAUUACAGAUAUUUAAACAAAUGUUAUCAGUUUUGUAAAUCACAGAGGUGAAUAUCAUAUUUUCGUAUAAUAUUUUUAUAUAUAACAAGUAACUUUUAUGUCAUCUUAAUUUGAUUUAAUUUAAUUUAUUUUGAUUAACUCUAGAAAUUCAAUUUCUUGAUUUUACAUACUUUCAACGGCUUAAGACUCCUAAGUGCUCGCUGCGACCAUGUUAGAUCGUGACAUCAGAAAUGACACGCUGAGAAUCUUUGCGUGCUAUUUUUAAAUAAAAAUAUUUAAGUAAAAGAACACUUCAGAUCGCUUUAAUACACUUGUAAAAUGUUCUGAAAACUACUCUUUUCCCUUGACAGUUAAUAAACAGCUGUAAAAUGAAUAUGAUACAAAGCCUAGUCAUGCAAGCUUAUUGAGCAGCGCAUGACUAGGUUUCGUAUCACAUUCAUUUUACGGCCAUUUAUUAACUUUCGAGGGAAAAGGAUAGUUUUCUGAACAUUUUAUAAAACGGUCUAAAGUAUUUUUUUUUUAUCCAAAUAUCUUUUUAUUUUAAAAUAACACGUAAGAAUUCUCAGUGUGUCAUUUCUCGCCUCUGACGUUACGAUCUAACAUGACCCAAGAGCUUAACAAAUUUAUUUGUUGGAUUUACUUGCAUUUGGAAGUAAUAAAAUUUAUUUCAACUUAAACAAAUAUCCAAUUACUGCUUAAC